rnacentral:lncRNA from 1 species
UCUUCUGUAUACAAUCAGAAACCUAAAAAUCAAUCAAUAUCUAAAGUUGAAAAUAAUACACAAAAACACCCUGAUACAUACCUAUAUAAACAUAUAUAUAGAGAAAGAGAGAUUACUGAUGGUAGUGGGCGGCUGAUAGAUGAAGAAAGCCACUAUUGGGACAAAAUUGUGGCAAUAAACAAAGAAAGAAAAGGAAAAGAAAGAUCAAGAAACGCUUUGUGAGAAUGAAUGUACAUCCGUAUUCGGGUCGGUCGACCAGACUCCAAUUUCUUCUAGUGGGUUGUGACCUUCGAAAAGUUUUGGCCCAGUUUGAGCCCAUUAUUUUUCAUUAUAUUAAAUUAAA